UUGACGGGACCCGCACAAGCGGUGGAUGAUGUGGUUUAAUUCGAUGCAACGCGAAAACCUUACCCACCUUUGACAUGUACGGAACCCUUUAGAGAUAGAGGAGUGCUCGAAAGAGAGCCGUAACACAGGUGCUGCAUGGCUGUCGUCAGCUCGUGUCGUGAGAUGUUGGGUUAAGUCCCGCAACGAGCGCAACCCUUGUCAUUAGUUGCUACAUUCAGUUGGGCACUCUAAUGAGACUGCCGGUGACAAACCGGAGGAAGGUGGGGAUGACGUCAAGUCCUCAUGGCCCUUAUAGGUGGGGCUACACACGUCAUACAAUGGAUGGUACAAAGGGUCGCCAACCCGCGAGGGGGAGCCAAUCCCAUAAAGCCAUUCGUAGUCCGGAUCGCAGUCUGCAACUCGACUGCGUGAAGUCGGAAUCGCUAGUAAUCGUGGAUCAGAAUGUCACGGUGAAUACGUUCCCGGGUCUU
rnacentral:rRNA from 1 species